rnacentral:rRNA from 1 species
CCUACGGGAGGCAGCAGUGGGGAAUAUUGCACAAUGGGGGAAACCCUGAUGCAGCGACGCCGCGUGAGUGAAGAAGUAUUUCGGUAUGUAAAGCUCUAUCAGCAGGGAAGAAAAUGACGGUACCCGAUUAAGAAGCCACGGCUAACUACGUUCCAGCAGCCGCGGUAAUACGUAGGGGGCACGCGUUAUCCGGAGUUACUGGGUGUAAAGGGAGCGUAGACGGCAGGACAGGUCUGGAGUGAAAUGCCGGGGCUUAACCCCGGAACUGCUUUGGAAACUGUGAAGCUAGAGUGCAGGAGAGGUACGUGGAAUUCCUAGUGUAGCGGUGAAAUGCGUAGAUAUUAGGAGGAACACCAGUGGCGAAGGCGGCUUACUGGACUGUAACUGACGUUGAGGCUCGAAAGCGUGGGGAGCAAACAGGAUUAGAUACCCCUGUAGUC